ensembl:lncRNA
CCUCUUCUCUCCUCUACCCUCUUCUCUCUUCUCUCCUCUACCCUCUUCUCUCCUCUACCCUCUUCUCUCCUCUACCCUCCUCUUCUCUCCUCUACCCUCCUCUUCUCUCCUCUCCUCUCCUCCCAUCUCCUCUUCUCUCCUCUUCUCUCCUCUACCCUCCUCUUCUCUCCUCUACCCUCCUCUCCUCUCACCUCCUCUCUCUCCCCCCUUUUGUUCAGUUGUCUUGUAUGUCAGUUAUAUGUGUACUUGAAAAGACAGGGCCGACUGAUUAGCACUAAUGUUGAGGGACCUGGGGUUGCAUAUCAACCUCACGAUGGUGACGCUACAGUCUACAUGCUGAUAACAUACGCUAUAACAAUACUUGUAUAAGUUUAGAGAUUCGGUUCUGUGACGUUGCAUCAUGUGGUCAAAACAACCUUUUCUUUCUGGGUGCGGAGAUGAGAGAUGGCGGAGCAUCUUUCUCUAUUCUAACAACCGGUCUGUUCUUUGUUAUUUUCUAUUCCUCAUGAGGCAUUUGUUGAAUUAGGUACCAUUUCGGAUGCAACCAAUGAGAGAGCUGUCUCUCUCUCUCUCUGCAGUGUGGUUGGUAGGUAGAUUUGGGCUCUAUGGUUUAGAAUAGAGCUCCUCUCUCUGCAGUGUGGUUGGUAGGUAGAUUUGGGCUCUGGUUUAGAACAGAGCUCCUCUCUCUCUGCAGUGUGGUUGGUAGGUAGAUUUGGGCUCUAUGGUUUAGAAUAGAGCUCCUCUCUCUCUGCAGUGUGGUUGGUAGGUAGAUUUGGGCUCUAUGGUUUAGAAUAGAGCUCCUCUCUCUCUGCAGUGUGGUUGGUAGGUAGAUUUGGGCUCUAUGGUUUAGAAUAGAGCUCCUCUCUCUCUGCAGUGUGGUUGGUAGGUAGAUUUGGGCUCUAUGGGUUGACGGUUAGAACAAAUAACCGUACAGAAUAAGACAUGUUUGUUUUUAAAUAGCUGGUAUCUAUUCAUGUUAAUUAGACAUUUCAAUCUUAAUACUAGACUUUCUUCUAGAUGUAUUUGUGUUCAGUAAUAGUCAUAUGUUUCACUUACUGCUGGUACAGUUGUACUCCAUGUUAUUAUUUAGGUAUCUUCUCUCUGGGAGCAGCCAGCUAGCGACACAGAGGGGACAGCCUUCUAUACUGCUCUAUCUGAUCAGUUGGGAGUAUAAUCUGCAACGUUAACAUGACGUCUCUAUAACGUUAACAUGACGUCUCUAUAACGUUAACAUGACGUCUCUACAACGUUAACGUAACAUCGCUAUAACGUUAACGUGACGUUUCUACAACGUUAACGUGACGUUUCUACAAUGUUAACGUGACGUCGCUAUAACGUUAACGUGACGUUUCUACAACGUUAACGUGACGUCGCUAUAACGUUAUUAAUAAUCCCUGGUACAGCGGGGGGUUUUUUGUGUUCAUGACUGAAUAAGAGAAAGGAAUGAAACAACCAGCCAGAGAGAUGGACCCAAACUCAACCACACGCUGAUCAUGAUUCUGUUGAGAAGGUUUCUUUUAUUUAGUAUUUUCGAUGUUGUUUCUUCUCUAGCGGUAGGUAGCUGUAGUUAGCGGUAGGUAGCUGUAGUUAGCGGUAGGUAGCUGUAGUUAGCGGUAGGUAGCUGUAGUUAGCGGUAGGUAGCUGUAGUUAGCGGUAGGUAGCUGUAGUUAGCGGUAGGUAGCUGUAGUUAGCGGUAGGUAGCUGUAGAUAGGCUGCGGCGGGUUGUGAAACUGACUUGUUUUAAUAACUCCUUUACUUCCUGUACCAAGGCAGCAGACAUUCCUUCCUGUAGGAAACCUAGUACAGGUGUUUCAUUCUUCUCAGUAUAGCUACUAACUUAUUAACGGAAAGGUGGUGAUUAGGGUUGUGAAAUUCCAGAAAAUGUUUCCAAAAUUCCCAGAUUUCCCGGAAUUUCCGGUUGGAAGAUUCUGGAAAAUCCAGGGAUCCUCCAACCAACUAGAAUUUCUGGGGGUGCUAGAACAUGAUAAAUCUCUGAGGGUUUAUGAGGCACUGUCCAUCUUAACGCUUUAAAACCCUUCAUACAUGUCCUUACAUUCCAUCAUCCCAACUCGUAUCCUUUGGACAUUUAGCAUAUUUACAUUUGACUAAAGCUAUACUUCCUAAAUGCUACCCUAUGUCCUAGGCAGUGCCCUACGUUUGACCUUCAUCUCCUCAGAGGAAGACGAGCAAGAGGAAGACGUUUGACAAUAUUCUCUUUUGGUGCUUUUCUCAAACGUGUCUGUCCAAAAGUAGUGCACUAUGUAGGGAAUAGGGAACCAUUUGGGAUGGAGCUGAAAACAUAUUCUCUGAGAGCCGGGAUCCAGCUGCCAGUCAGCUGUUGUUGUUGUUGUUAUUAUUAUUGACUUUUAAUGUUUAAUGAGUUUAGAUGUAAAGAAACUCUUCUAAUCUAUAGUAGUUCAUAACAGAUGAAUCGGUCUGUACUUUCUGUAAAUGUUACGAGAAAACAUUUUAUUUAGGCCAUUGUGGUGAAAUGAACUGUCAUUUUUAAUGCAUGAACACAGAGGGAAGGGGACACUAGUGUCCUGAAGUCAUUUAUCCUAAAACACAUUUCAUUACCGUCACUAGGUAGUAGUAGGGUUGCUAAUUUCUAAUACCUUUUCCUAAAAUUCCCAGGUUUUCAAAAAAUAAAAAUCCCGGUUGGAAGGAUUCACAGGAUCAGGAGGUGAAUCCUCCAAACAGAAUCUGGGCGUUUUUUGGGGAAGUUAACGUAAUUUGGGAGUCUCUCACUUGUUCUGCUUCGGGCGGUAAAUCACUUCAUGACAAAGUCUUUUUUUAUAUAGGUAACUAUAAGACCAUCAUUACGCUGUGCGUAACGAAAUGUACAGAGAAGAUAAAAAAUCAUAGGUAUUUUUGGAGGAUCAAUGAAUUUGUUAAUGACAUGUAGCUAUUUAAUUUCCCUUCUUUCUUUCUUUUUUUUGUCCAAUCAUGCAUUUUAUAACUUUUUGGUUUUUGGUGUAAAAAAAAAAAAAAAAAUUUUUUUUUUUUAGAUGUUUAUUUUUUUUAUUUUUAAAAGGUUAAAGUGCAGGAACACAGAAAUUAUAUGAAAACACUGCAUUGAUGAUAGCCACUUGUGUAUUUUGAUGAUAGCCACUUGUGUAUUUUGGCAGUUAUAAUGUUGCAUAAAGGCUACUCAGCAGACAGACAUAACGGUUAUGUCCCAACAUAUAUAAGGAAUUGUGUCAUUUGUAACCAAUCCUCUUUAUUUCAACCAUGUGCCUCUUGAGACAAUUGAACAAAAAAUAUAUCGUUGUCAUCCAUCUUGUUUGACUUCUUUUUGUGAUCCAGUAAUAACAGGUGUAUAGCCAGAUGGUCAUCCAACCAGUUUGGGAUAAAGAUGCUACUGUAUUAGCUAUGUUAUUUAAUGGAAGAUCCCAGGAAGACUGGCUGUGUGCUUCCACAUCAAUGAUAUGCAUCCAAAAUGGCACUGUUUCCCUGUAUAUUGUACUAGUCAACAGCAGAUACAUAGGGAAUUAGGUACCAUUUCGGGUGCAACCAAUGAGACACUAAAUAUUCACGUUCCUUCACUUGGAAGCUGCACCAACAUUGUCCAUGCUGUUAGUAAAUCUGUUCAACCUUAAUUUUGUGGCCUUGUUCCUCCAACUAAAAAGGUUUUGGCAGGCCACCUUUUUUUGUACUUAAGUAGUAUUGAUGAACAAUAAACUGCUCUUAAACCUCAA